rfam:Rattus norvegicus chromosome 16, whole genome shotgun sequence.
GGCGAUUUAGCUCAGUGGUAGAGCGCUUGCCUAGCAAGCGCAAGGCCCUGGGUUCGGUCCCCAGCUCCA